UACAGAGGGUGCGAGCGUUGUCCGGAAUCACUGGGCGUAAAGGGCGCGUAGGUGGUCUGGUAAGCGUGCGGUGAAAUCGCGGGGCUCAACCCCGCGCCGGCCGUGCGAACUGCUGGACUGGAGCACUGUAGAGGCGGGUGGAAUUCCGGGUGUAGCGGUGGAAUGCGUAGAGAUCCGGAAGAACACCGGUGGCGAAGGCGGCCCGCUGGGCAGUGGCUGACACUGAGGCGCGACAGCGUGGGGAGCAAACAGG
rnacentral:rRNA from 2 species